rnacentral:rRNA from 1 species
UACAGAGGUGGCAAGCGUUGUUCGGAAUUACUGGGCGUAAAGGGCGCGUAGGCGGCCGAGCAAGUCCCGUGUGAAAUCCCCCGGCUCAACUGGGGAACUGCACGGGAUACUGCCCGGCUCGAGUUCGGGAGAGGGAAGCGGAAUUCCGGGUGUAGCGGUGAAAUGCGCAGAUAUCCGGAGGAACACCAGCGGCGAAGGCGGCUUCCUGGACCGACACUGACGCUGAGGCGCGAAAGCUAGGGGAGCAAACGGG